rnacentral:lncRNA from 1 species
GCUUCAUAAUGGGAACUAACAUUUUCUGGAACUUCACGACUUAAAAAGUAAAUUCAUGUAUGCCAUUUCAUCUCUGAGAGAUUCAAUGACCAUGUUUGAUGACAAGCCAGAUGGCAGCCGUUCUCCAGACCCGGUGCCAAGAAGCGUGACAGGAGCCGCAAUUUACCUUGCGCGGUGGAGGCCGGCUACAGAAGCGCCCCCGCAGCUGCGGGCCAGCAGGGCUGCUGCCGGUAGGUGCGCCCGCCCGCUUGGUUCCCUCCCAAUUUGGAUGGAGCAGGGCAAGAAAGAACAGAAAUGUGGAGCGUAUUUUAAUGCAAUCUGUCUGCGAUUCAUGGGAGAAACAACAUUCCCUCGGUGAAAAACCCUGAAAGAACUGUUGGAGCUGGUCUGAUCUGCACGUUUGGAGGAACACUGGCGUACGAGUUACUGGGAACACCAGAGCCCUGUGGAAUUCUAUAGGUGAAUGAGUGGUUGGAAGAGAGCAGACUUCACUGGAAAUUAGCAAGUGGAGUAAUAAAUACUGGAAGACACAAGAACA